GGUUUGUAUGAGCAUGUUGGAUCCUUGCUUGCGCAUCGACAAUGUCUCGUGCAUUCCAUUUCAGUUGUUGCCUCAAGUUUUACUUGGUCGUUGUGUGUUUCCUGUGCUAAAUACCUAACAUGAAGGCAUUCCAUUUGAUGUGGACACUAUAUCCACCUUUUGAUGCCCCCCAAGAGGAGUGCGUUUUGUUGGUGGACCUCAAAUCAUGCAUUGUGGUUCACAUCCUUUGCCUGCCUGUUCAUGCUUUGGUUGUUGACCCAUGAUGUUGUGUUUGAUCUCUUGGAUAUUGAAAAUUGUGAGGGAAUGGGCCUUUGGCCUUUAAUGACCCCAAAUUAGGCG
rnacentral:misc_RNA from 1 species